CUACGGGGCGCUGCAGUGGGGAAUAUUGCACAAUGGGCGAAAGCCUGAUGCAGCAACGCCGCGUGAGUGAUGAAGGCCUUCGGGUCGUAAAACUCUGUCCUCAAGGAAGAUAAUGACGGUACUUGAGGAGGAAGCCCCGGCUAACUACGUGCCAGCAGCCGCGGUAAUACGUAGGGGGCUAGCGUUAUCCGGAUUUACUGGGCGUAAAGGGUGCGUAGGUGGUUUCUUAAGUCAGGAGUGAAAGGCUACGGCUUAACCGUAGUAAGCUCUUGAAACUGGGAAACUUGAGUGCAGGAGAGGAAAGUGGAACUCCUAGUGUAGCGGUGAAAUGCGUAGAUAUUAGGAGGAACACCAGUAGCGAAGGCGGCUUUCUGGACUGUAACUGACACUGAGGCACGAAAGCGUGGGGAGCAAACAGGAUUAGAUACCCUGGUAGUC
rnacentral:rRNA from 1 species